UAAUUGAAGAGUUUGAUCAUGGCUCAGAUUGAACGCUGGCGGCAGGCCUAACACAUGCAAGUCGAACGGUAACAGAGAGCAGCUUGCUGCUCUGCUGACGAGUGGCGGACGGGUGAGUAAUGUCUGGGAAACUGCCUGAUGGAGGGGGAUAACUACUGGAAACGGUAGCUAAUACCGCAUAACGUCUUCGGACCAAAGUGGGGGACCUUCGGGCCUCAUGCCAUCAGAUGUGCCCAGAUGGGAUUAGCUAGUAGGUGGGGUAAAGGCUCACCUAGGCGACGAUCCCUAGCUGGUCUGAGAGGAUGACCAGCCACACUGGAACUGAGACACGGUCCAGACUCCUACGGGAGGCAGCAGUGGGGAAUAUUGCACAAUGGGCGCAAGCCUGAUGCAGCCAUGCCGCGUGUAUGAAGAAGGCCUUCGGGUUGUAAAGU
rnacentral:rRNA from 1 species